rnacentral:lncRNA from 1 species
GUUGAUUUGUCUCAUCAGCUUGUCAAGUCAAGUAUACAUAUACACACGAAGGCAGUACCUCUCAGAUUAAUAAUCGUGACUGAAUUUUCUUUCUUGGAGUUGGACCCAGCUGACAGACUAGCCGCUGAAAACUUCGAUAGAACGUUUCAGGUUUUGGUGAGCCGGGGCGUGGAGCUUGGGCCAUGACGCUCGGGGCGGCGGCUCGCGACUGACAUGUCGCUAUGACGUCAUGUCUUUGUCUGCUUUGGCGGAAGAGCGGUCGUCGGAGCGAUGGGCGGGGGCGG